rnacentral:rRNA from 1 species
GCGCGAAAACUUUACAAUGCUGGCAACAGCGAUAAGGGAACCUCGAGUGCCAGGUUACAAAUCUGGCUGUCGAGAUGCCUAAAAAGCAUUUCAUAGCAAGGGCCGGGCAAGACCGGUGCCAGCCGCCGCGGUAACACCGGCGGCUCGAGUGGUAACCGUUAUUAUUGGGUCUAAAGGGCCUGUAGCCGGCCGGAAAAGUCUCUUGAGAAAUCUGGCAGCUUAACUGUCAGGCUUUCAGGAGAUACUGUCUGGCUCGAGGACGGGAGAGGUGAGAGGUACUUCAGGGGUAGGGGUGAAAUCUUGUAAUCCUUGAAGGACCACCAGUGGCGAAGGCGUCUCACCAGAACGGACCUGACGGCAAGGGACGAAAGCUAGGGGCACGAACC